rnacentral:misc_RNA from 1 species
GUGAAGAACGUAGCGAAAUGCGAUACUUGGUGUGAAUUGCAGAAUCCCGUGAACCAUCGAGUCUUUGAACGCAAGUUGCGCCCGAAGCCUCGGCUAAGGGCACGUCUGCCUGGACGUCACGCAUCGCGUCUCCCCCAAACCGCCAAGGCGGAGGGGAAGGAAGAUGGCUUCCCGUGCCUCACCCGGCGCGGUUGGCCUAAAUUUGGAGCCCGCGGCACUUAGCUCUCGCGGCGAUAGGUGGUGAACAAGGCCUUGGCCGUGCAAACAACCCGCUGCGAAGCUCUAUGUCACGUGCGCUCGUCGGACCCUUUGAAGUUGCCUUCGGUGACUUAAAACCUUUGCGACCCCAGGUCAGGCGGGGCUACCCGCUGAAUUUAAGCAUAUCAAUAAGCGGAGGA